rnacentral:rRNA from 1 species
UGAGUACGAGAUGCUACGGCAUCGAAGCAGUCUAUGUCAUACUUCCAAGAAAAGCUUGCACUGUCAGAAACAGAUAAUGCCUGUACCAUAACCGACACAGGUGGGUAGGUAGAGUAUACUAAGGGGCGCGAGAUAACUCUCUCUAAGGAACUCGGCAAAAUGACUCCGUAACUUCGGGAGAAGGAGUGCCUUAUUUUUAAGGUUGCAAUAACAAGAUCCAAGCAACUGUUUACCAAAAACACAGGUCUCCGCUAAGUCGUAAGACGAUGUAUGGGGGCUGACGCCUGCCCAGUGCCAGAAGGUUAAAGAAGUCGGUUAGCAUUCGCGAAGCUGGUAACUGAAGCCCUGGUGAACGGCGGCCGUAACUAUAACGGUCCUAAGGUAGCGAAAUUCCUUGUCGGGUAAGUUCCGACCCGCACGAAAGGCGUAAUGAUUUGGAUACUGUCUCGGAGAGGGGCUCGGUGAAAUAGACUUGUCUGUGAAGAUGCGGACUACCUGCACCUGGACAGAAAGACCCUAUGAAGCUUUACUGUAACUUGAAAUUGAAAUUGGACUUUAUUUGCGCAGUAUAGGUGGGAGGCGUUGAAAAUAUUCUUGCGGGAAUAUUGGAGCCAUCAGUGAGAUACCACUCUUGUAAUGUUAGAUUUCUAACUUUAUAUCAUUAUCUGGUUAAAGAACAGUUUCAGGCGGGCAGUUUGACUGGGGCGGUCGCCUCCCAAAUGGUAACGGAGGCGCACAAAGGUUUCCUCUGAACGGGUAGAAAUCGUAUCUAGAGUGUAAAGGCAUAAGGAAGCUUGACUGUGAGACCUACAAGUCGAGCAGGGACGAAAGUCGGUCUUAGUGAUCUGACGGUGCUGAGUGGAAAGGCCGUCACUCAACGGAUAAAAGUUACUCUAGGAUAACAGGCUGAUCUCCCCCAAGAGUUCACAUCGACGGGGAGGUUUGGCACCUCGAUGUCGGCUCAUCGCAUCCUGGGGCGGUAGUACGUCCCAAGGGUUGGGCUGUUCGCCCAUGAAAGCGGUACGCGAGCUGGGUUCAGAACGUCGUGAGACAGUUCGGUCCAUAUCCGGUGUAGGCGUUAGAAUAUUGAGAGGAGCCUUCUUUAGUACGAGAGGACCGAGAAGGACAUACCUCUGGUGUACCAGUUAUCGUGCCAACGGUAAACGCUGGGUAGCUAUGUAUGGAGUGGAUAACCGCUGAAAGCAUCUAAGUGGGAAGCCCACCUCAAGAUAAGUAUUCUCAC